rnacentral:tRNA from 1 species
UCCAAGGAAGCCUAGUGGACAUGGCAUCUGCCUGGUAAACGGUACACUGUGGGUUCGAUCCCCAUCCCUGGAU